AACUUCAACUGAAAAAGUCAUCAACAACAAAGUUGUAUAAUCCAUCUAGAUACACAAUUCUUAUUUUGGUCAUUUGUUCAUCCGAUAAAGUGAUUUUAACAUUGUUCACAAAUUUUACAUAUCUCCCAUAUGAUUUCAUAAAUUAUAAGAUAGAUGUGUAAAUUUUGUGAAGAAUGUUACUAUCACUUUGUCGGAUGAAAAAAUGACCAAAAUAAAAUCUAUAGAUUUGAUGAGUUAUACAAUUUUGUUGUUGAUGACUUUUUCAUUUGAAAUC
rnacentral:pre_miRNA from 1 species